AUGGAUUGGAGCAUGUACUUACAGUCAUGAUAGAUAAAGAUUACUAUGGAACGCAAUAUUUAAAUCAAAUGUUCAUUGUACCGGAACAUGCAGAUACUAAAACCUAUGACUCUCUAGAACAUUCCAUAAUGACAG